CUUCGAGCAACACGUCCGGGACCGUCCGCCACACGGCCUUCCAGGACCCGGUAGGACGAGAGAGUUUACCUGUCAGUCUGUUUUAGCGUGUUGCUGUGACGGCGACUGGAUGCCUGGGUUCCCCUGAUGGUUAACCGGCAAGCACGGCAUCACCAUAGAAGUCCCCUGGAAUUUCAAGAAUGCAGCAUAAAUCCAACACUGGGACCCUGCCUACACCAAGUACAGCCGACAGGGGGCGCACUUUGCGCUACUUUGUAAGAAACAAUGCAGGAAAAUCAAUAAUUUUAAAAAAGAAUGUUAUUUUAUGCUUUUACGUUUCUUUUUCAGUGGUCAGUUAAACUGUACAUUGCAGUCUAUAUACAUCCCAUAAAGCAUUAGAGUUUCAGAAUUGAGGUGAUUGGGUAUUUAAUGGGCAAGGGGUGGAGGGGUAAUCGGAGGUAGAGAUGGGUGUAGGUAGUGUGGAAGGGGUCUAGUUGAGUAAUGGUGGUUACACAGUAAAAACCUUCUGAUACGCCCCAUCGUAUACAGUUGAAGUUAUUGUUUAACUUUAGCCAUACCACAGGUUCUUCCAUCAAAUAUUAACAUUUUUAUUUGUAUUUCAUUCUUCUCUUAAUAAUAAGCAAAAAUUGAUAAGAAAAAGUCGAAAAAGGUAACAAUCCUUAAGCCAUAUGCCUUUCAGUCUCAGAAAUUCAACAAUACAAGUUUCAGUUUUAUAAAGGAAACAAAAUGAGGACUGCUUAAAACAGUCUUAUUUACAGUCAGCCUAAUUCCAGAUUCCACAGCAUUUUUAAACGAAAACUGUGUUUGGGUUCUGAUGCGUGUGGCUGAGGCACAUUCAACCUUUGAAACCCAGGGACCUGGGCCGCUCCCCGCGAGAUACAGCAGAUGUUGCUCACAGCAGGAGGUGUGGGGUUGGGUUUGAGGAACUUAUCUGAUAAGAGAGAACGGUGUAAAGAAGAAAUCAGGCUGUGUGUUAAUGAGCCCGAGCAGUCUAUAAGGUGUUAAGCCUCUUCAAUUAAAUGCGCUUCUAUUGAUGUUGUUCUUUAUCUGGUUUCAAUCUUCUCUGGCUUUGUUUGGGUUCAGAGUGGCGGUCCAAAGUGCCAAACGAUGAGUUUGAUUCUGAGUGUAUGGUGUGUAGUCUUAUGGUGAGCUGUUGCCAUGGAAUACAAUGUUAUGAGAAUGUCGUUUGUAUGAUGUGGAAGUUUGUCUAUAUCUUAUGUCACAGACUAUAAUAUUUUAGAUGUUUCUCCUAGCUGAGUGUUGAUGUGGCCCUGAGCAAGACACUCAACCCUAACUGCUCCUGACGAGCUGGCUGUCGCCUUGCAUGGUUGACUCUGCCGUCGGUGUGUUAAUGUGUGUAUUAACCGAUGAAAGUCGCUUUGGAUAAAAGCAUCUGCUAAAUGCCCUAAUAAUAA